GAAAUGUGUCUGGACACGAAAAAGCUGCUAACUUUUUCUCUAGCGGUUAAACUCCGUUAUCAUUUCU
rnacentral:tRNA from 1 species